rnacentral:rRNA from 1 species
CAGCCGCCGCGGGAAAACGAAGGGUGCAAGCGUUACUCGGAAUUACUGGGCGUAAAGCGUGCGUAGGUGGUGGUUUAAGUCCGUUGUGAAAGCCCUGGGCUCAACCUGGGAAUUGCAGUGGAUACUGGGUCACUAGAGUGUGGUAGAGGAUAGUGGAAUUUCCGGUGUAGCAGUGAAAUGCGUAGAGAUCGGAAGGAACAUCUGUGGCGAAGGCGACUAUCUGGGCCAACACUGACACUGAGGCACGAAAGCGUGGGGAGCAAACAGGAUUAGAUACCCCAGUAGUCCCUGUCUCUUAUAC